rnacentral:rRNA from 1 species
GGGGUGCCCGAGUGGCGAACGGGUGAGUAACACGUGAGUAACCUGCCCUUGACUUUGGGAUAACUUCAGGAAACUGGGGCUAAUACCGGAUAGGAGCUCCUGCUGCAUGGUGGGGGUUGGAAAGUUUCGGCGGUUGGGGAUGGACUCGCGGCUUAUCAGCUUGUUGGUGGGGUAGUGGCUUACCAAGGCUUUGACGGGUAGCCGGCCUGAGAGGGUGACCGGCCACAUUGGGACUGAGAUACGGCCCAG